rnacentral:rRNA from 1 species
CCAGACUCCUACGGGAGGCAGCAGUGAGGAAUAUUGGUCAAUGGACGGAAGUCUGAACCAGCCAAGUAGCGUGCAGGAUGACGGCCCUAUGGGUUGUAAACUGCUUUUGUAUGGGGAUAAAGUUAGGGACGUGUCCCUAUUUGCAGGUACCAUAUGAAUAAGGACCGGCUAAUUCCGUGCCAGCAGCCGCGGUAAUACGGAAGGUUCAGGCGUUAUCCGGAUUUAUUGGGUUUAAAGGGAGCGUAGGCUGGAGAUUAAGUGUGUUGUGAAAUGUAGACGCUCAACGUCUGACUUGCAGCGCAUACUGGUUUCCUUGAGUACGCACAACGUUGGCGGAAUUCGUCGUGUAGCGGUGAAAUGCUUAGAUAUGACGAAGAACUCCGAUUGCGAAGGCAGCUGACGGGAGCGCAACUGACGCUUAAGCUCGAAGGUGCGGGUAUCAAACAGGAUUAGAUACCCUGGUAGUCCGCACAGUAAACGAUGGAUGCCCGCUGUUGGUACCUGGUAUCAGCGGCUAAGCGAAAGCAUUAAGCAUCCCACCUGGGGAGUACGCCGGCAACGGUGAAACUCAAAGGAAUUGACGGGGGCCCGCACAAGAAAGGGC